CGUUCGUCCAGUGGUGAUUUGGCCGGUCGCUUGCAGCCACUUAAAAGAAAUAGCUAAAGACCGUUUGGGAACCGGC
rnacentral:ncRNA from 2 species